GAUGAACGCUGGCGGCGUGCCUAAUACAUGCAAGUCGAGCGAAUGGAUUAAGAGCUUGCUCUUAUGAAGUUAGCGGCGGACGGGUGAGUAACACGUGGGUAACCUGCCCAUAAGACUGGGAUAACUCCGGGAAACCGGGGCUAAUACCGGAUAACAUUUUGAACCGCAUGGUUCGAAAUUGAAAGGCGGCUUCGGCUGUCACUUAUGGAUGGACCCGCGUCGCAUUAGCUAGUUGGUGAGGUAACGGCUCACCAAGGCAACGAUGCGUAGCCGACCUGAGAAGGUGAUCGGCCACACUGGGACUGAGACACGGACCAGACUCCUACGGGAGGCAGCAGUAGGGAAUCUUCCGCAAUGGACGAAAGUCUGACGGAGCAACGCCGCGUGAGUGAUGAAGGCUUUCGGGUCGUAAAACUCUGUUGUUAGGGAAGAACAAGUGCUAGUUGAAUAAGCUGACACCUUGACGGUACCUAACCAGAAAGCCACGGCUAACUACGUGCCAGCAGCCGCGGUAA
rnacentral:rRNA from 1 species